rnacentral:rRNA from 1 species
AUGGAUACCAGUGCAACAAAUCAUAUCACGGGAGAAAUGGAGAAACUAACAGUGCAUGAGAAGUAUCGUGGCAAUGAUCAAGUCUACACUGCGGCAAACGGUGCAGGUAUGGAGAUAAGUCAUAUUGGUCAAUCACAUAUCAAAACCCCAUACAAAAACCUUGAAAUAAAAUAUAUCUUGCAUGUGCCUAAUGCUUCCAAAACUCUCUUAUCUGUUCAUCGCAUUGCCCUUGUUAACAAUGUCUUUCUAGAAUUUCACCCUUUCUUCUUUUUGAUCAAGGAUCAGGUCACGAAGGAAAUUCUCCAUAGGGGUGUCUGUGUGGAAGGACUCUAUGCAUUACUUCCUAAGUAUUUCUCAUACAAUAAAAGAGUUUAUGGUGCCAUCAAGCUUCCCGCUGAAAGGUGGCAUAGUCGCUUCGGUCAUCCAUCAUUUGCUACUAUUCAUCAAAUCCUUAGUAAAAAUAAACUCCCAGUUGUUGGUGAGAGAAAUUUAGAGACUCUUUUUGAUUCAUGCCAGCGAGCAAAAAGUCAGCAAUUGCCAUAUCCUGCAUCCACUAGUGUGUCAACCAAGCCCUUGCAGCUUAUCUUUUCUGAUGUAUGGGGUCCAGCCCCUACUUCUGUUGGUCGACAUUCUUACUAUGUAAGCUUUAUUGAUGAUUUUAGUAAGUACACAUGGACCUAUUUGCUCAAAAAGCGUUCUGAUGUCUUUCAAGUAUUUCAUAAUUUUCAAGCUCUUGUAGAACGCAAGUUUGAUAGUAAAAUCAUUGCUAUGCAAUCUGACUAG